GACGAACGCUGGCGGCGUGCUUAACACAUGCAAGUCGAACGGAAAGGCCCUGCUUGCAGGGUACUCGAGUGGCGAACGGGUGAGUAACACGUGGGUGAUCUGCCCUGCACUUCGGGAUAAGCCUGGGAAACUGGGUCUAAUACCGGAUAGGAGCCAUUUUUAGUGUGAUGGUUGGAAAGUUUUUUCGGUGUAGGAUGAGCUCGCGGCCUAUCAGCUUGUUGGUGGGGUAAUGGCUUACCAAGGCGGCGACGGGUAGCCGGCCUGAGAGGGUGGACGGCCACAUUGGGACUGAGAGACGGCCCAGACUCCUACGGGAGGCAGCAGUGGGGAAUAUUGCACAAUGGGCGCAAGCCUGAUGCAGCGACGCCGCGUGGGGGAUGACGGCCUUCGGGUUGUAAACUCCUUUCGCUAGGGACGAAGCUUUUUGUGACGGUACCUAGAGAAGAAGCACCGGCUAACUACGUG
rnacentral:rRNA from 1 species